rnacentral:pre_miRNA from 1 species
AAAACAUUUAGACCGUCCCGACUACCGAGCAAUUAGGCUCACUCGGUGGAAGAUCUUCCCUUUGUCGU